AUGAACGCUGGCGGCGUGCCUAAUACAUGCAAGUCGAACGGAGAUUGUAGCAAUACGGUCUUAGUGGCGAACGGGUGAGUAACGCGUUGGCAACCUGCCCCGAAGUGUGGGAUAACGGUCCGAAAGGGCCACUAAUACCACAUGUGAUCCCGAGGAACAGAUACUUGGGAUGAAAGGAGCGAUUCGCUUCGGGAGGGGCCUGCGUCCCAUCAGCUAGUUGGUAAGGUAACGGCUUACCAAGGCGAUGACGGGUAGGGGACCUGAGAGGGUGGCCCCCCACAAUGGAACUGAAACACGGUCCAUACACCUACGGGUGGCAGCAGUAGGGAAUAUUGGUUAAUGUGCGAAAGCGCGAACCAGCAACGCCGCGUGUGCGAUGAAGGCCUUCGGGUCGUAAAGCACUUUUUGCAGGGAAGAGGAAGGACGGUACCUGCAGAAUAAGUCUCGGCUAACUACGU
rnacentral:rRNA from 1 species